rnacentral:rRNA from 1 species
GAUGAACGCUAGCUACAGGCUUAACACAUGCAAGUCGAGGGACCGGCGCACGGGUGCGUAACACGUAUCCAACCUGCCCUUUACUCGGGGAUAGCCUUUCGAAAGAAAGAUUAAUACCCGAUAUAAAGGAUGGGGAUGCGUUCGAUUAGGUUGUUGGUGAGGUAACGGCUCACCAAGCCUUCGAUGGAUAGGUGUUCUGAGAGGAAGGCACCCCACAUUGGAACUGAGCCACGGACCAAACUCGUACGGGAGGCAGGAGUAAGGACUAUUGGUCAAGGGGCGCUAGUCGGAACCAGCCAAGUAGCGUGAAGGAUGAAGGCUUAUGGGUCUUAAAUUGCUUUUAUAUAAGAAUAUGUAUUAUAUGAAUAAGGAUCGGCUAACUCCGUGCCAGCAGCCGCGGUAAUUC